CUUCGGUGGGGAAGAGUGGCAGAACGGGUGAGUAACACGUGGGCAAUCUGCCCUGCACUCUGGGAUAACUCCGGGAAACCGGAGCUAAUACCGGAUACGACUCUCCAGGGCAUCCUGGGGGGUGGAAAGCUCCGGCGGUGCAGGAUGAGCCCGCGGCCUAUCAGCUGGUUGGUGGGGUAACGGCCCACCAAGGCGACGACGGGUAGCCGGCCUGAGAGGGCGACCGGCCACACUGGGACUGAGACACGGCCCAGACUCCUACGGGAGGCAGCAGUGGGGAAUAUUGCACAAUGGGCGCAAGCCUGAUGCAGCGACGCCGCGUGAGGGAUGACGGCCUUCGGGUUGUAAACCUCUUUCAGCAGGGAAGAAGCGCAAGUGACGGUACCUGCAGAAGAAGCACCGGCUAACUACGUGCCAGCAGCCGCGGUAAUACGUAGGGUGCGAGCGUUGUCCGGAAUUAUUGGGCGUAAAGAGCUCGUAGGCGGCCUGUCGCGUCGGAUGUGAAAGCCCGGGGCUUAACCCCGGGUCUGCAUUCGAUACGGGCAGGCUAGAGUUCGGUAGGGGAGAUCGGAAUUCCUGGUGUAGCGGUGAAAUGCGCAGAUAUCAGGAGGAACACCGGUGGCGAAGGCGGAUCUCUGGGCCGAUACUGACGCUGAGGAGCGAAAGCGUGGGGAGCGAACAGGAUUAGAUACCCUGGUAGU
rnacentral:rRNA from 1 species